CAUCUGUGUGAUCACUUGCCCCUCCCUAAUGUGUUUCACCUGUAUAUAACUGUCUCCCCACCUCCCUCAGUAUAUAUACCACCUCUCAAUAGCCUUAGUUGCCAGAUCGUUUUGUACCCUAGUGACAGCGGUCUAGCAUGCCUUCCUCGUGUUUCUACAACAGCUGAUUAGAGGAUCAUACAUCUCGGCAGCUUACAGAGUUGACAAGAGCUUCUCCAGGACCUUGUGGAAACAAGAUGGAAGGAUUCCUCGUAUAUCUGAUGAAGUAGAGCCCUCACUAGCACACUCCCACCCUCCAUUUCCUUUU